GACGAACGCUGGCGGCGUGCCUAAUACAUGCAAGUCGAACGCAGUUACGAACGGGUGAGUAACGCGUAGGUAACUGCCUCAUAGCGGGGGCUAACUAUAGGAAACGAUAGCUAAUACAGCAUGCUGUGAGAUGGAACUACGUUGUAUUAGCUAGUUGGUGAGGUAAAGGCUCACCAAGGCGACGGUACAUAGCAGACCUGACAGGGGGAUCGGCGACACGGGGACUGGUACACGGCCCCGACUCCUACGGGAGGCAGCAGUAGGGAUGCGUCGGAAAGGGAAGUAAGUCUGACCGAGCAACGCCGAGUGAGUGAAGAAGGUUUUCGGAUCGUAAAGCUCUGUUGUUAGAGAAGCGGUACCUAACCAGUAAGGGACGGCUAACUACGUGCCAGCAGCCGCGGUAAUUC
rnacentral:rRNA from 1 species